UAUAAACCCGUCAUUCUGUAAGCUCAGCGCUGCCUCCUCUGACUGUGGUGGAGCAGCUCAGCAGGAUAAUAAGCUUACUCGCCUGACCUUGGGUCUCUCUCUCAUCCUUUCUCUUGGCUAACCUUCAUUUUGGUGCCAAAACCCAGGAAGGGGAUAGGCUCUGGCUGGGCGUCCUUAGAGGAUUCUCUCUCUCUCUCUCCUAUCAUCCCUUACCCAGCCAACCUCCCCUUCCCGAACCUGCUAAAGACCCUAAGGAUCUCCCAAAAUUCUCCCAUUGUUGGCCACCUCAUCCACCAUCAAAGCCUCUGAGAGGGUUUUUACAGGGCCGUGUUAGAGCCUUCACCCAUGGAACAGUACAAGACAUGAUGCUACUCCGAGAAUACCGACAGCUCCAGGAACAGCAGUCCCUACUACCCAGCCUCUCCCCCCAACCAUCGCCCCUAUCCAGCAAGAAGCAGCCAGAGGACAACGGCGCCCCUCUUCUAUUACCUAUUAAAAGGCUGGAAUGUUAGGAACAAGUUGCACCAGAACCCCUCCCCCUUCCCACCCGCCCCCGCACCCCCCCCCCCCCACCCAAUGCAGCUGUCCCUUACCCUGAAUACUCUGCAGCUGCAUUCCUGGACCCUUAUCUAGGCACUACAGCAAGGUCACCAGACUUGCUUACAGCCCUACGGGCAGCAUGGGGGAGGUCACGAGAAACGUGGAUAAACCUAAGUUACACCCUCUUGUAAAUUCCUAUAUUGUAACCUGGUCACGAGAUGAUAUGUGGUAAGGUUAACCAACAAACAACCCCAGGGUCUCUCUCCCCCAUAUAAAACCCUCAUUUUGUAAGCUCAGGGCUGCCUCCUUUGACUGUGGUGAAGCAGCCUGGCAGGGAAAGCAGGACUGAGUUUGUCGGAAGGUGAGCGGGGCUUGGCCAGAGACGGUGUGCGCUGAGGCAGCGGCCCUGGACAAGAGUGGCGUUUGGAUACUUGACGGUGAAAGGGGAAGAAGCCAGUCACCAGCUCCAAAGUCCAGGAACUACACCUGGCAAAGGUCAAAGCCUGCGAGGUAAGUCAAUUGCGGACAACGCCUGAGCCCCGCGUUUGCAGCCGGCGAGUUGACUUCGGUAGGGAGAAAGUGGCCGGCCCCAAAGGGCAGCCCCGUGGGGGCGCGAGUGGCUAGCUCAGUUUGCGGUCCCCUUUACUCCCACGCCUGCAAAUCUCAGACCCCUACGCCCUCCCCUCGCCGGCCUUGGUGCGUCGGGGUCCCGCCGCCCGCCGUCCCUUACCGAGCCAGAAGUGCAGGUGGUAGGUGAAGCCUCGGCUCGUCUUGGCCGUGUGCAGCACCAGGUAGGCAUCCCCGACGUAGAAGUCGCCGUGAGCGCUCUGGGGCACGGGCACCAGCUCCAGCUUCUCAAUCCUCCAGACCUGCAGCCCCGCCUGCUUGCCCGCCCGGGCGAACUCUUCGUGGUAUAGCUCCCGCGCCAUGGCUCCUGCACGCGAUGCUCCGGGGGACGCGUGAUAUCGCUGAUCUUGGACUAAACCGAGAGCAGCAGGAGGAACCUUAUUCGCCGCCACUUUAUAGUGUUUGCCAUCCGGGGAGGCGGCGCCCUGAAACGGGAGGGGCUAAGUGCCCAGGCGCGAGUUGACAGAGGAGACGAUCGCUUCCCACGGGGAGCGCAGCGCUGGCUUCCAAGCUCCCACGCCUUGCCCCAGGCCAGGAGCGGAAUCGGCGUCCCAGAAGUCUUGAGAUUCAGAGGGAGUUUAUAGUAACUCGUGCCAAUGCCUCCUCCAAGGAAAGACAUUUUCUCUAGCAAUAGACGAAGAACAUUAACGGUUAAAACUGCUUGGCACUCCUUUGUGCAUACCCAUCACUACCGUCCUGCAUAUUUCCCCUUCUCUCGCUAAUCCUCUUAUUUCUGGAUCUCAGUUGUGCCUGGCAGGAGGGGUGAGGUGAGGAAAGAGCGCGCCAGCCCUGCAGAGUUGAGUCAGCGUUUACUCGGGUGGAGCAAUACCUGUUCUUUCUGGCCCUCUAGAAUAAUUCUUAGAACAAGGCUUCCUCUGCUAAUAGCAACACCUGCCGUUAGGCAGCAGAGGAGUGUGCCACAUUAGCAUGCUGGAAUAAUUUUAAUACAUCCUUCUUUAAAAAAUGGGCUUUUUGAGUAACAAGCAUCCUAAUGAUCAAUUCUGUCAUUUCAUUGGGCAAUCUCUGCAUUCCUGACGACCAAAGUUUCUGUCUCGAUCUUCCAGUUUGAAAAUACCAUGAAAAACAGCAUGUCAGAUUUCUUGGACAGGAAGAAAACCUGGAAGAAUGGCAGUAUUACCCCAGGUGACAGAGCUCUGUAAAUCUCAGAGUUCAGGAGCUGUGGUUGAGCUCUCUUAACACCUGCUUCCUUUGGCCAAGAAAGAUGAAAACAACAACAAAAACCCAGCAGCCGCCGUCCUGAGAUGUUCUCUGCAGGGCUGUUUGUGGCUGUAAUUUUAUGCUUGGCCGGACUUCUGGGUUACCUGUUACCUAGCUUCAAGGUGAUAAUUUUCUUUGUUUUACCUACAGGUUUUGCUUUUGCAGCAUGGCUAAAACACUAUGGAAUACAGAUGGAAAUUUUACUCUUGAUUUGGCAUUCAUUUAACAAGCUGGUAUAGCAAAGGAUUCUGUUACUGAAAAAGGCAAAUCACUCAGGAUGUAUAGAGUAAGAAAGCUGAAUUUCAUGCAUGUAAAAUUGUUUUCAUUCAAUUUCUCAAAUUACAUGAAUCCCUGGAAGGUCAAUAAUAAUGCAAAAUUAGAUUUUUUUCCUUAAUUAAAUUAUGUUUUUAAUAGGUUAUUACAUGACCAUGGUAAAAAAAUUAAAAGUACAAAAUGUGUGCAAUAAAAAAUUAUCUCCAUUUCACCCUGCCACCCAGUUGCUUUCCCCAAAGGCAAUUACGUUACCAGUUUCUUAUGUAUUUUUCCAGGCACUCAAAUUUUGUCAACAAGAAUAUAGGUAAUGUAGUUAUUUUAAAUUUUUAACAGAAAAUGUAACAUAUAACCUUUUCGAAUCCCCCCCCGUGUGUGUGUGUGUGUGUGUGUGUGUGUGUGUGUGUGUGUGUGUGUCUGUGUAUCAACACACAGUACUCAUAGAGCUACCGGUUUUUACUGACCAUAUGGUAUUCCACUUUAUAAACAUACUAAUUUAUUUUGUCUAUCUCAGUUCAUAGUGUAGGGGCCAAGGGAAAACUUCCCCUCUACCCUCUGAAGUUUCACUGAAAAAUCAAGUCACAAAAGGCAGAUUAACAGGACAAAUGGCAUACAAAUUUAUCAGCGGGCAUGGGGGAGAAUCACAGAGUGAUUGGCCAAUAUCCCAAUGAGGUACAGAGGGUUGUACCUCCUUAUUAGAGGAAAGGCAGAUGGGUGAUGUAUGGGUGAUUUGGGGGGUUAGAAAAUGAUUUUUAGGGGAAUUCAAUGUGUUUGAAGAACAUACAGUGGCCUGAGACAAAGUAUGUUAAGCCUGCAGAGCUCUCCGUGUGUGUUGACAGACUUCAGUCUUUCUUUCUGCAAUAUGAGUUCAGUUUGUGGAAAGUCAGGGAAGAGACCAGAGGUAACUGUUUUCUUCUUUGGCAAGUCGAGACUUUAGGCAGAUAAGGGAACUUCAGAGAAUACCUUCAUUCUGUGCUUUGGGAAAGAGAGGAUUGGUGAAGGAAGGUCAAAGAAAACUUAAGCCUUCUUCAUUUCAGCAUGUCAAAGUGUCACAUUUUGUGGUAUUGGUUUCUGAGCCCCAACACUAGGCAUUUAAAUUUUGUGUAUAUUUUGCCAAUACAGUGUUACAAAUAGCAUAUUGAACAUACUUUAUUAUGCAUUCGCAGUAUUAUAAUUGAGAUAAAACCCUGGAAAUAUAAUUGGUUGGGAUUAAAUAGCUUUUAUGUAGUGACGAUAAUUAUGAAACCAAUUACUACCACUUACUGAUCUUUGACAAUAACAGGCUAUAGUACACAUUACCUUGAUUCAAUUCCUGCUUUCAUCCUUAGUUCUGAGACUUUCAGGAAGUUACUUAACUACACACAGCCAGCCUCAUGUUCCUCAUCUCUAAAAUGGGAAAAUAAUAAUAUUUGCCUUAUAAGAUUAUUUGGUUUAAAUGAGUCGACACAUAUAAGGUAUUUGUGUCUGUUACACAGAAAACACUCAAUAAUUAGGAACAAUUUUUAUGUGGUGGUGAGCUUCCUUUUGCUCCUUUAGAUAUCUUCUCUAUCCUGCACCCUUCCACCUUCCCUUGAGGUUGAUCUACAAGAGCUAAAUCAAGUGGGCUCUGAUGUCCUCUGGCUUGAGGCUUGGUUGGAGACCAGAGGGAGAAAAGAGAGUGAGGCUGGAGUAUUUAUUUCCUUGGCUCCUUCAGCAAAAAGUCACUGUUCUUUUAAAGGCGAAUAACUGUGUCUGACUUUUUGUCUCCUGUUGGGUUAUAGCAACUCUCCCCUCACAUGUUUUAUUCCUUUUGUUUUCUCUGCCUCUGUUCUUUUGUAUAUAGCUUCCUAAAAAUCUCCUGGAAUUUUCCUAUUUUGCAUGCAUGCUCUGUUGUAAGUUGAGAUCCUGAUGGAUAAAUUUUAUUAGCUACAUUCUUUUUUUGUCUCCUGACCAAAACAGUGAGAGGUGGAUAUGAAGCCUCAUUUUAUUGAUGAGGGAACUGAAGCUUUGGAGUUUGCCGUAGGUCAGUCACCCAGCUGAUGAGUAGCCAAAGGGAAUUCAAGUUCUCUCUCUCAUUCAAAAGUACUUGCUCUUCCCAAAAACGUAUUCUUUCAAUCUAAAUUAUUUGGCCAGGUGUUUUUCCCUGAAGCAUACUUUAUAAUUUUAUUUUCUUCAAGGUUGUAUCUAGAGAAGCUUCUGAUCUAGUAUGUCCCAUGCAGCACUAAGAAACUUAGUUUUAACUUUGAGCCAUUAGGUCUCAGUUUCCUUAUCUGUAGACUGAAAUCAUGUGUUCUCUUCCUCCUGACGAAAAAAAAUAUAAGAACUGGUGCUCUAGACUUAAGAUAAUUUAAAAACCAGAGGUGUCUCAAUUUCAGUUUCAAUUUCAGUGAUCAUUUCUUUGUUGAAGAAAUAAAAAGAAGCUUUGGCAUAGAUGAAAGUGAAAUUCCCUCUAGGUUAGGCCAGAGCUAGUGUGAGGCAAGUAAGACAGAUGCCUAGGAUGUAAAAGUUAAAGAGGCACAAAAAACAACAACAAAGUAGCAUUCAAGAUAAAUACUAUUUUAAGGUGAUAUUUUAAAGCUCAAAAUUAAUGCAAAAUAUCAUGAUAUAACAUUUCAAAUAGAGACAGGAUUGUUAAUAGUGCUGUACAGGCUGAGACAAAGGAAAAGUACUGAUCCUUCCACUACUUAAAACUUUGGGCUGGGCGCGGUGGCUCACCUGUAAUCCCAGAACUUUGGGAGGCCGAGGUGGGCGGAUCACGAGGUCAGGAGACCGAGACCAUCCUGAUUAACACGAUGAAGCCCCGUCUCUACUAAAAAUACAAAAAAUGAGCUAGUUGUGGUGGCAGGCGCCUGUAGUCCCAGCUACUCGGGAGGCUGAGGCAGGAGAAUGGUAUGAACCCAGGAGACAGAGCUUGCAGUGAGCCGAGAUCACGCCACUGCACUCCAGCCUGGGCGACAGAGCGAGACUCCGUCUCAAAAAAACAAAACAAAACAAAACAAAACAAAACAAACAAAAAAACCACUUUGAUAGUUAAUAGUUUUGGCAUUUUGAUAUUUAAAAAAGUGCUGCAUUGAAAUACCAUUUUAUAUACUAAAAUACUUGAUUUAUUUUUUUCUUUUUUUUCGUCCUAUUAAUUUUGUGCAUGAGGCAAGUGCCUCACUCUCCUGACCCUAGUCCUCUCCUGGCUAAGUGAGCUCCAGAUCUAAACUUCCAACUCCCUGAUAGAUAUAGCUACCUGAUUGGUCCUGCUGAGGUCAGGUUCAACAUACUCACAACAAUCUUAUCGUUUUAUCCAAACAUACUUCUAUUUUUUUCUAAUUUCACUAACAGCAUCAUUUAAUUUUGACCUAACACUCUCUAUCUCCAUAUUCAAUCAACAACCCAAUCCAUCCCUAGUAGCCUACUCUCUUGCUCCUCCUCUGAUCUUCAGUAGAGACAUGCAGUGAAAGUUAAGCGGCCUAACUUAAAAUAUGGCUUUGACCUAGGUUGAAUCCUUGUUCUCCCCCAUUUCAGCUCACUGAGCUGGGGCAAGUUACUAAACAUUAUGUGUCUCAGUUUUCUCAUCUGUGGAAUGGGGAUACUGACAGAAAUUUCCUUGUAGAAUUGUCAUGAGGAUUAAAUGGAUAAAUACAUAUAAACCUGGAAAAGUACCUGGUACAUAGGAAGUGGCAGUAAACUCCACUGAGACUAACAAGUGAUUAAUUCAUUUCUCCAAAUUCAAUCUUCAACGAAUAAUGUUUCCAGAGUCCAGAUAAGGACUGCCCAUUUUCUACACAAAAAAAUCGUCUCCAAAACCAAGUGCCAGUUUCCUUUCCAGGCCUUUAUUUUCUCUUCCUCUCUCAUACCCUAGUUUCCUAAAAGUAAAUAAUUUCCUUCCAUUUGUGUUAUUGCCCUUCUUCCAUAUCUGUCUGUUAAAGUUCCUAAUUCUUUAAAGUCUGCUUCCUUAGGGUCAUGAUUCCCCCGGAUCCAUUAAACUCCAGCAUCCUCUGUGCUCCCAGCACUCCAGAUCUGCUUACAUCAUAGCAGCUCCCACACUCUGAAGUGUGUUUUCUCUCUCAAGUUUGAAGGUUCACUUAGAGAUUCAUGACUCAUUAUUUGAUUCCCUGGCUUUAUGGUAAUACAUGCUGACUAGAUAUGAUUGAAUUGUUUGUUUUACAUUAAAUUACAUUUAUAUUUUCAUCAAUUUACAAACCUGAGUCCAAGGAGAAACACCCAAUGUGAAUAAGUCUUUACCAAGAGUCAGGAGGUUUGAGGUUUGGGGCCAAUGUGAUUGGACUCAAGGUAAGUGUUCUAGAAUAUUAAUACCUAGAGGGGAAUGUUGCAUAUGUUAUUCUUCUGAAUAAAAAACAAUGUCAAAUAAUAUAAUUGAUGUAUUGUGCAAUUCACUAAAAUGGGUUGGGAAAAAUGAAUCAGCUUCAAGCGAUCUUCAUUCCUCAGGGAUAGAAUCUCAGAGUUGAGAGACAUUUUAUUUAUAUCAUUGCAUCGUGAUCCCAGAAUUGUUGAAACUAAACAUACGAAAGACAGGGACUGCACUUUUUUUUCCCCCAGGAGAGGUAAAUGCUUUGAAUGUGCUAUUUAUUUGCUUUCUUUUUGUUAUGUAAAUAAUGAAAUAAUGUAAUUAAAAAUACAUUUCUUUUAGUGGUAGUCCUGCUAAAUUGUAAUAACUUAACGUUUGUUUUACCAAAUUAUUUGAGGGUAUAAGCAUGGAACCUGGAAUCAGGGGACCUGAGCAUUGUGAGGAUUAAAAGAGAUUAUGUAUGUCAAAGCCCUAAGCACACAAUCAACAAAGUCAGUUGAUAAUCAGCAAGCACCCUUUUUCCCAGUACCUAUCAAAGCUUCACUUAGAAGUGAAAAUACAUUCCAGGGAAGUGUAUUUUUAUCCUUUUGACUCAUUCUAAACAAACUAGAGCUUAAGAAAAAAAAGCACUCUUUUUUUUUUUUUUUUUUUGAGACGGAGUCUCGCUCUGUCACCCAGGCUGGAGUGCAGUGGCGCGAUCUCGGCUCACUACAAGCUCCGCCUCCCAGGUUCACGCCAUUCUCCUGCCUCAGCCUCCCGAGUAGCUGGGACUACAGGCGCCUGCCACCAUGCCCGGCUAAUUUUUUGUAUUUUUUAGUGGAGACAGGGUUUCACCAUGUUAGCCAGGAUGGUCUUGAUCUCCUGACCUUGUGAUUUGCCUGCCUCGGCCUCCCAAAGUGCUGGGAUUACAGGUAUGAGCCACCGCGCCUGGCCCAAAAAAGCAUUCAUUUAAAAAAAAGCUUCAAUCAGGAUUUUGGACCUUCCCUUUCAUAAGUCAAUUAUUUUUAAACUACACAUAACACUAUAACUAUAAAGUAAUACUGAGCCAUGAACUAUCAUAGUCCAAGGUUCAGUACUAAAGUGAAGGUUUUAUUGCUGUUGAAUGUCUGCUGGUGUGAUAUAUGGUCCAUUUUUGUAAACCUACUUACUACAGCAGGUCAUAGUUGGUUGAUUUGACAUUUCUUCUGAAUACUGUCAUGCAGUAUUUUAUUAUGAAAGCAAUUUCUAACCCAUGUUUGAUUAUUUACAGAAGACAUUAUCAUUACUUUAGAAGUUUAUACAUUGAAGAAUGCUUAUGACCAAAAGAAAGGUUGAGGAUGAAAGUUUAUGAAAAUUUAUGAUUUAAAUGUAUUUUUUUCCUUUAAAAUUAUAUUUGUAUAAAUGGAGAUCAUAUCGUCUAAAAUAUAAUAAAAUUGAGGCUAAUGGUGUUUGAGCCUGUGUCAUCUUUUUUGCUUGAUUUUUCUAAAUGUCUCUAUUUUACUAAUAAUCACAAUUAACAAUUUAUUCUGUUUUGCUUGCUUAUUUGUAGCCCUGGCAUUACCACUUUGUGAGAAAUAACUUCAGAUUUUCAAGGACUAAGUCAACAAUACUUGAAUGCUAGAACUGUGUAACCAUAGAAAAUGAUGGAAAUCAGAUAUGAUCAGAUUAUCAUUUUGUUGUAAAGAUACUUACAAAAAUAAGGUUAAUUAAUUCAUUUAAACCAAACAGAAGGUUGUUUUUAAAAGUUAAAGCUUGAAGAUUAUUUUCUGCUAGCCAGAAAUAACUUCCUUCAGCCAAUUCUCUUUUUAUCACAACCUCCCUUUAUAUGAGUUGAAAUUAUGCAAUUUGACUGUAACUCCUUUUACUCUUGAUAUCUUGAGGCUUGCUUGAAAUCACAGGCUUCUAUGGAGUAAGCAAACUGACUGAAAGGAUUUCCGAAGAUACUUUAUUUUACAUACUUCAGAGAACAGUGUCUUUUGAGGCUGGCAAAGGGAGCCUCAUUAACUCCGUAUCUACCCAGUUCCUCUCCUGAAAUGACAGCAUUUUAAAAUAAACAGCUUAACAAGUAUUCCCUGGACAGCUGGUACUCACACUUCUAGCUGAGGCCUACUAAAGAAAGAUGGAGAGCAAUUUGCUUCACCCAGGAAGUCUUAGGGCAUUGGGAUACUUGGGGCAGUAAACAUGAGGGAGAAUUCUUUUUGUUUUCCCACCAUUUCUUUAUCUCAGUACCUACAUGGCAUUUUUUUCUGAUUGCUGUGGUUACACAUGUUUACUGAAGACAAUUUUGAAAAUACCAAUUACAAAUGAGAUUAAAAUUAUCCCUAAUCAUACAACCUAGGGAUAUGCUCUGAUAACGUUUUACACAAAAUUAAGAUCAUGAUAUAAUACUGUACAUUUCCAUUUAUAAUUUGUUUAGGACUCAUACUACACAUAUCUUUUCUUUGAGUGGUUGGGGUUAAAAGCAGAAUUCCCGAAAGUUCCAUCCUUCCAUUUGGGAAACCCUGACUUGUUAGGCACAGAAAUACUCCAUGUCAUUGUAGCAUCACUCAAUUGUAUAAUUUUGACAUUUAUUUUUAUGUGAAAAUUAUAGAACAAUUACACUCAUCCAUAAUCAUGUCUUUCUUGCUCGCUCUCUAUUUUAACAAGUAUUAUGUUAUUUAAGAAGUUCAGUGCCCUUGGCCCGGCACUGUGGCUCACGCUUGUAAUCCCAGCACUUUGGGAGACCAAGGCGGGCAGAUCACGGGGUCAGGAGAUCGAGAUUAUCCUGGCCAAC
rnacentral:lncRNA from 1 species